AUUGAACGCUGGCGGCAGGCCUAACACAUGCAAGUCGAGCGAGCGGCGGACGGGUGCGUACUGUAUGGGGACUGCCCGAUAGAGGGGGAUAACUACUGGAAACGGUAGCUAAUACCGCAUACUAUCCGAUAACCCAUAUGGGAUUAGCUAGUAGGUGAGGUAAUGGCUCACCUAGGCGACGAUCCCUAGCUGGUCUGAGAGGAUGAUCAGCAACACUGGGACUGAGACACGGCCCAGACUCCUACGGAGGCAGCAGUGGGGAAUAGUGGACAAUGGGCGCAAGCCUGAUGAAGCCAUGCCGCGGGUAUGAAGAAGGCCUUAGGGGUGUAAAGUACUGUCAGUCGGGAGGCGUUACCGACAGAAGAAGCACCGGCUAACUCCGUGCCAGCAGCCGCGGUAAUAC
rnacentral:rRNA from 1 species